CCUACGGGUGGCAGCAGUGAGGAAUAUUGGGCAAUGGACGAGAGUCUGAACCAGCCAAGUAGCGUGAAGGAUGACGGCCCGAUGGGGUGUAAACUUCUUUUAUAAAGGAAUAAAACGAGGCACGUGUGCCUUUUUGCAUGUACUUUAUGAAUAAGGAUCGGCUAACUCCGUGCCAGCAGCCGCGGUAAUACGGAGGAUCCGAGCGUUAUCCGGAUUUAUUGGGUUUAAAGGGAGCGUAGAUGGGUUGGUAAGUCAGUUGUGAAAGUUUGCGGCUCCACCGUACAAUUGCACUUGAUACUGGCAGUCUUGCGUACCGUUGAGGUCGGCGGAAUUCGUGGUGUAGCGG
rnacentral:rRNA from 1 species